rnacentral:rRNA from 1 species
CCUACGGGAGGCAGCAGUGGGGAAUAUUGGGCAAUGGAGGAAACUCUGACCCAGCAACGCCGCGUGAAUGAUGAAGGUCUUCGGAUUGUAAAGUUCUUUUCUACGGGAAGAAGAAAGUGACGGUACCUUAGGAAUAAGCCUCGGCUAACUACGUGCCAGCAGCCGCGGUAAUACGUAGGAGGCAAGCGUUAUCCGGAAUGACUGGGCGUAAAGGGGGCGUAGGUGGUUCAGCAAGUUAGUAGCGUAAUUCCGGAGCUCAACUUCGGCACUACUACUAAAACUGUUGGACUUGAGUGCAGGAGGGGCAACUGGAAUUUCUAGUGUAGCGGUGGAAUGCGUAGAUAUUAGGAAGAACACCGGUGGCGAAGGCGAGUUGCUGGACUGUAACUGACACUGAGGCACGAAAGCGUGGGGAGCAAACAGGAUUAGAUACCCUUGUAGUC